rnacentral:rRNA from 1 species
UACGUAGGGUGCAAGCGUUGUCCGGAAUUAUUGGGCGUAAAGAGCUCGUAGGCGGUUUGUUGCGUCGGCUGUGAAAUCCCGAGGCUCAACCUCGGGGUCUGCAGUCGAUACGAGCAAACUAGAGUGUUGCAGGGGAGACUGGAAUUCCUGGUGUAGCGGUGAAAUGCGCAGAUAUCAGGAGGAACACCGGUGGCGAAGGCGGGGUCUCUGGGCAACAACUGACGUGGAGGAAGCGAAAGCGUGGGGAGCGAACAGG